rnacentral:ncRNA from 1 species
AAAAAAAUUAUUUAUGGUUUAAAAAUUUAUUAUAAAUUUAUUUUACAUAUAAAUUUUAGUGUUAAUUUUUAAUUUAUUUAAAUAAUAAUUAAUAUUUAUUUGUAGUAAUUAGAAUUAAAAAUUUAAGUAAUUAAGAUUUAGUAAUAUUUAAAUUAAUAACAAAUUUUGUGCCAGCAGUUGCGGUUAUACAAAAAUUAAAUUAAAUUUUUUUAGGGAUUAAUUAAUAAUAGAUUAUAUAAUAAAAUUAAAAUUUAAAUUAUUAAGUGAAAUUUUAAUUUAUGAAAAUUUUAUAUUGAAUUAUGAAUUAAAAAAUUUUAUUAAAAACUAGGAUUAGAUACCCUAUUAUUAAAAAUUUAAAUUAAUAAUACUAAAAUAGUAUAUAAUUAUUUAUAAAAACUUAAAUAAUUUGGCGGUAUUUUAGUUUAUUUAGAGGAAUCUGUUUAUUAAUUGAUAUUCCACGAAUAAAUUUACUUAAUUUAUUUAAUUUUGUAUAUCGUUGUUAAAAAAAUAUUUUAAAAUAAUAAUAAUAUUUUAAUUUUUAUAUUAAAAGUUAAAUCAGAUCAAGAUGCAGAUUAUAAUUAAGAAUAUAAUGGAUUACAAUAAAUUUAUUUAAUUGGAUGUUAUUUUUAAAAAUUAAUUGAAAUUGGAUUUAAAUGUAAUUUUAUUUAAUUUAUUAAAAUGAUUUUAAUUUAAAAUAUGUACAUAUUGCCCGUCGCUUUCAUUAAUAAAUUGAAAUAAGUCGUAACAAAGUAGAGGUACUGGAAAGUGUUUCUAGAAAGAG